UGUAGCCCGGGCAACAGAGCGAGACUCUGUCUCAAAAAACAAAAAAAACCUUUUAAAACAAAACCUUAUAUGGCAUAGUUAGCAUUAUAAGGAGUAUCCUAUAUAUUUCUCUACAGAAAGUGGGAGAAAGUAGAACUGGCCUGGUGCCUACUAGAUGUCAGGUCCUACUGUGACUUUUAUGUGUGUUACCCUUAAGUUUUCCAAGAAGUAGUUGUCAUUAACUUUUUAUAAGUGAGAAAAAUAGGUUGAAAGUGAAUGGCUAUCCCAAGUAACACACAGUAAGUAGCAAGCAAACCAUGGAUCUAAAGUCAAUUCUUUCUGCCUCCAAAGCUCUCAGUUAUGCUGUGGUAUUUUGUGGAUGAAAUACUAGGAUUUAAAUAUAUGUUUAGGGUUUUUGUGGUGAAGCCCAAGUUGCUCUUGGACCUUGUUAAACUUGUACCAUCUGAAAUGAAAAACUGUGUCUACUCUUUUCCAGGUUUUGCUGUUACUGUUCAAUGUAAUCACACCUCCUUGAAUUAUAAAUGGAAGAGCCUCAGUGGGUCGUAGCUGGGUAGGAGAUGGGAUUCGGCAGCACUGGCUCAGAGUUAGGUCUAAUGUGCCGGAGUAGCACAGGCAGAGGCCCAUGUGCACAGACUGUGGGAGCCCCCAGGGGAAGGACCAAAGGAGGACGAGUCUGACAGCAAGCCCAGCUUCCCAAGAAGGUAUAAUGUGAGAGGCAAGUAGCUCCAGGUAUGUCCUGACCCAGCCAACUGGAAGGUAAGUUUGCUCCCUGGAGGGAGAAGAGCUGUAAGUGUGAACUACGAGCUGUGCCGGUAGACACUGUGACACUGGAGUUCACAAAGUCUUGCUGUAGAACAGCCCCGCUCUGAGCCCAGAGGAAUGUUCUCACUGCACAAGAGCAGGUGUCUUGCGUUGGGCACAUGGUAGCCCUCUGGAUGCACCAGGCAAGGCCCUGCAGAAUGCUGGAAUUACAGAUCCUCUGGCUGAGCAGAACAUGGUGACGUGAGUGGGGUGCCCGCUGAGGUGAGUCUGUGCAGCCAGCAAGGCCUGAUGCCAAGGGUUGACCUGACCAGCCACAGCAGUUGAUUCAGGUCAUGCACCCACCCUUGGGAUUCCUGGAAAUACUUGGGGACAAAGGAUUUUCCUUGAGGUGGGACUUUCUACAUGUGCAGAGGUGAGAACUCAAAGCAGUUGAGAUUUAGAUAUUAAUAUGAAACAACUUCACUUGUAAUCAUUAAGACUGAUUAAGGCUGGGAGUUAUCCUUCCUGCUGUAUUUUAAAAUAGGCAGAUGGACAGGAUUUUCAAGAUGCCCAAGAAAGUAAUCUAUUAUAGCAGUAAUAGUUUGUAUCUUCACGAAUGAAUGGUGGAGCCCCAUGUCGCCCAGGAUCUGCAGCCCGCAGAACCGCCGCCCCCCACUGCUUCUCUGGCCUCCUCACACGCCAGUCCAGCCCUGGCACCCACUGGGCAGCUCCUGUUCUCCCUGUGCCUCCAGCACAUUCUCAGGCCUCUGCACUUGCGGUUUCCCUCUGGAUCAUGCUCCUCCCGCAUCGAUAUCCUUGCACCCUGCCCUUCACUUCCUUCUGGUUUCUGUUCAAAUGUUGCUUUUUUGUGAGGCCUUCCCUGACUUCCUUAUAUAAAAGAGCAACAACUGCCCUUUGCUUUGUUGUCCCUUAAUCUGCUUUAUUUUUCCCCAAAGCACUUUGCACCAACUAAUACAUUAUACUUGUUUGUUUAUAGAGUGUAUCCUCCUCAUUAGAAUGGGAGCUCCACGAGAGCAGGAACUCCAUCUGCUAUUCACUGAUGUACCUGAGCAGCCAGAACAUUGUCUGUCACACGGGACACACUCAAUAAAUGCGUUAAUGAAUGGC